rnacentral:rRNA from 1 species
GAUGAACGCUGGCGGCGUGCCUAAUACAUGCAAGUCGAGCGAACGGACGAGAAGCUUGCUUCUCUGAUGUUAGCGGCGGACGGGUGAGUAACACGUGGAUAACCUACCUAUAAGACUGAGAUAACUUCGGGAAACCGGAGCUAAUACCGGAUGAUAUUUUGAACCGCAUGGUUCAAAAGUGAAAGACGGUCUUGCUGUCACUUAUAGAUGGAUCCGCGCUGCAUUAGCUAGUUGGUAAGGUAACGGCUUACCAAGGCAACGAUGCAUAGCCGACCUGAGAGGGUGAUCGGCCACACUGGAACUGAGACACGGUCCAGACUCCUACGGGAGGCAGCAGUAGGGAAUCUUCCGCAAUGGGCGAAAGCCUGACGGGGCAACGCCGCGUGAGUGAUGAAGGUCUUCGGAUCGUAAAACUCUGUUAUUAGGGAAGAACAUAUGUGUAAGUAACUGUGCACAUCUUGACGGUACCUAAUCAGAAAGCCACGGCUAACUACGUG